CGUCUUCGGCGAGUAGUCACGUCAAUCCGUUCGCGGUCCCAAACCAGUGAAUAUUUUUGGAAAUCGAUUCAAACGACAAGUAUAAUAUUAAUAUUGUGUUGUAAAACCCAGCGAGAAUUUCACUGUCAUCGUCGCAAGACCCAGAUCGUUUUUGGCGCACCUCCUUUGCUUGUUGUACACGCUGUUGUAUAUCAUAAGAUAAUGGUCUACUCGGAUAAGCACCGCACCGGGCUCGGCGACGUUACGAGAAUGCCAAACGACAGAUUAUUAUUACAAUAAUAAUAAUGCCCAAGUCGUCGUCGUCGUUGUCCUACCGAAAUAGGCUUUUUCUGAGCACGUGCCGGCUUUGGGGAUAUCCGAUAAGACGAUUCGUGAGCAGACCUGAAGAAAACGGCAGCAGCAGAAGCAGCUGCAGUAGCGAUUACGUCAACAACCACAAUGCCGAGGAGGAUACAAAAACAAACCGAAAAAAGAAAGAUGUGUCCGCUGCAGUGCUCGACAAGACUUCAACCGCGGCCUCGACGAUUAAGUGGAACACCCUGUACGUAUACUAAAUGUAUCCUGAGUGCAUUAUAAACUGUCCGGUAUACCUUCAGUAUACGUAACAGGAUGCCACACCGACUACACGAGAACGCGGUCCACGACGGGCUGCUGUUGCUGAAUUCUUCAUAACAAUAUAAUAUAUUAUUAUAAACGAUUAUGUAGUAUAGUUUUUAAAUAAUAUGUUCCAAUAAUGUUGUGUUCGCUUAUAAUUAAUUUCUAUGUAAAAUAACAUUUAAGAAAAAACAAACGCGUGGAGUACGUCAAAACAUAACGAUUAAACGGCAUGUUAAUUUAAAUUGUACAAAAUAUAAAAUACAUGUAAAUAAUAGCUGUAGAUAUAAUAGUAUAUAACCUUAUCAAAUUAUAAUUGUUUUUUAACUGUUAUCGGUUUGGUAAUUAUUGUAUUACGCUUCGACGAUUAUAAAUAUUACAAUUAAAAUAAUUAUCUUUUGAGUCAUAAUAAUGUUAUAACCACUGUGGCUUUUAUAAUUUACAAAUCAAUGUAAUAAUAUUAUAAUCAGGGUUCGGGACUUAAAGUCAUUGAGAUAGCGCUUAAAAUAGUGUUGAUAUUAAAACUAUAAUAUAGAAAAUAAUAAAUACAAGAUAUUUGGGUUUUUUCUCGGUACUUUUAAUUAUUGAAAACAUUUUUACAAUACUUAAUACCGACACAGAAUUACAUAAAAAAAAAAUUGUAUUCCGUUUAGAAUGGCCUCACAACAAAGUGUAAAUUUCAUAAAUGUCGUAUUAUUCAGUAGAACAAA